AAUAAAUGUGAAUUUUUAUGCCAGGGUAGUAAUAGUUAUGUUCUUGAAACCCAAAGAAUUUGGCGGUAUUUUAGUCCUUUCAGAGGAAUCUGUCCCGUAAUCGACAGUCCACGAGAUAAUUUACUUAUCCUUGUAUUUCAGUUUGUAUACCUCCGUCAUAAGAAGAUCUUUUUAGAGAUAAAUUUUCUUAAUAUAUUAAGUAUAAAAUGUCAGGUCAAGGUGCAAUUUAUGGAUGAGUGGAGAUGGAUUACAAUAAAUUUAUUUAAAUGGAUUAAAUUAUUUAAUUUUUUAUGAAGGUGGAUUUGAUAGUAAUUUUAAUUAUUUGUUAUUAUGAUUUUGGCUCUAAAAUAUGC
rnacentral:rRNA from 1 species